rnacentral:lncRNA from 1 species
ACGGGACAGGAUGUCUAAGGAGUCGGAUUCUGCAAGUCCACCUCUUCCUAUGGCUGUUUUCAGUCACCUCCCUCAGCAUCCUCUAAUACUGACAAAAUCAGAAUUCCAGGUGGAGAGAAGACCAAAAGGUAGUAUUUCCAAGGGUGGGAGUAGAGCUCAUGCAUUUGCAUUUAAAAUAGGUGAUUUGCAUUUUGCUGAUGAUUCAAGUUGAGACCACUGCUCCACCAUGGACAGAUUGUGAGAAAAUCCUGUUAUCAGUCCUGUUGCUGCCCCCAUGAAAAUAAUGAUUAAUUUACUUUCAUUUCUUUGUCUAGAUCAUAUUAAUGUUUGGCUUCGCUUUUGUCUUAUGAAGUGGGGAGAGUAGAGUCCAAGGAGUGAUGGAAUGGAGAAAAAUCAGGGAGAUACCUCCUAUGGGUACCAUCUUCAAUGACCACAAGGAAAGGAGUAGAAUGUUAUUGUGGGCAUUUGUACUGAUAUCCUUAAUAACUGUUCACUGCUUUUUCUUGCUUUUUUUUUUCUUUUUUCUUUUUUUCAGCAUUAGUUACUGGACAGGCAAAUCUAAAAUGUACACAGUCCCCAAUGCCUUACCCCAGUCCCUGUCCUAUUUCUAUAACCCUUAUCCUGAUCUCUAAAUUUUGAUGACAUCACUGUAACCAGUUGUGAGGAAUACUAAGGGAGGUCUGAGUAUAUUUAUUUAUUGUCAUUAAGUGUUUAUUUUUAUGUAUGUUUUAUAAUGUACACGAAGCAUAAUAGAGUCAAUACAUUUAAAAAUGAAAAUACACAUGUUCAGGCUUUUCUUUAACCUAUCUUAUAAACCUUCAAAAAAUCUUGCUAUCAACUAUCUCGAUCAUGGAGCAACCUGAUCCUCUAAGCUUGAACCAAUGACUGGCUCCUCUUUUCUGAUAGUGAAGGCCUGGGAAUUCUGUGCUUUGGACUCUCCCAGGGGCUCUAAUGAAUUUCCUUUUGAUGCUCAUCCAAUGGAACCAGCAUUGCUAUUUGACAUUUUGAAUUUCUCAUUUCAGUAUGUGACCUUGUAGGGUGUUGUUUUGAAGUAACCAAAUCUUGAUCUUAAUCUAGUGAGCUUAACCCUUGUAUGUCCCUCUGUCAAGGUCGUGGGCAAUUAAAUACAUUGGUUAUUCAUAUAAUGUACCAGAAAAUUAAAGCUGACCCUCAGUUAAAAGUUCAUUCUCUUCUGCCUAUGACCUCCCUCAAUUUAUGUGGUAUGGCAUUAUGAAUUUGAGAUACAAAAUGUUUAUAUAUUUAGCUUCUUAAACACCAAUUAAACAUGUCAGAAAACCCACAGUCAUUAAAUAGCAAAAACUUGUUUAUACAUACAAAGUGCAGUAGGUGUGGGGACUGAGCCACUUCAUUUCUUUUUAAGUUGAACUCUUUCAGGUGCAAGGAUGAUUUUUUAAAUAAUAGAUCUAAAUUUAUACCGGUUGGCUACUAUUUCCAGGAUAGCAUUGUCACUGCCAUAAAUCAUCUCAUUUCAGCAGCUACAGUAAAUAAUUGGGCCCCUGAGACAUUGUUUUCCAUCUUCUCUGCAGAGAGCGCCCUGCAACCUUUGGGUUCUCCCCUGGGUGUGCAGGGUGAUGGUGCUGUUGCCUCUGGCCUUUUCAUUUAUUAUUUAUUUCAUUUAUUGCAGGACUCAGAACAAAUUGGAAUUGGCAAAAAAAAAAUGGAGAAAGAGACUGUGGAAUGAUAAUAGCCAAGGUUCUCAUGAUUACCAGAAACUGCAGGGAGGGCAGAAAGGGAAAAUGAGAAUAAAAGAAAAGCAAAAUAAAAUGUUUGAAUCAGGAUUUUUUUCCUCUCUCUCUUUUUAAAAAUACUUGUCACAUAGUGAAUUUUCAGAUCUUUAUAAACAAAAGGGUGGUUUAAUGAAACUUUUGUUUUGGUAAAUCAAAGCACAGCCUCAAGGUGUACCAAGCCUCAGUACAAGGCUGGGGAGGGUUGCGGCUAGGCCAGGAGUAGAAACAGACUUGCAGUAUUGCUCACCAGGGGGUAAAGCUGCUCCUCUCUAAGCCUCAGUUUCUCUGGUAGGGAACACCCAUGGAUUGAUGCCUUUUCGUAGUCCCUAGAGUACAAAAGGGACAGCUCCCUACAGGUUAUACAAUAUAACCUGUAGUUUGGUUUCUGCUUUCUUUGUACAAACAUUAAUUUGCUGCAAUUGAGAUGAGCACUGUUUUUAUCCAUAUUCUUCAAAUGAGGAAACUGAAGUCUGGAAAGGUGAAAUAAGUUGGAGAGUCACCUAACUUGGAUUCAAACCCAGAUCUGCCUAACUCUAAUGACUUUGUUCCUAACCACUAUGCAAGACUGCCUCUUAGGUCAUACUUAACUCAUGCCACACAUUUGAAAGUAUUAGUUAUCUAUUGCCAUGUAACAGAUCUUCCCCAAACUUAGUGACUUUUUUUUUUUUUUCAAUUUCUGUAGGUUAGGAAUUCAGGAGAGUCUUGACUUGGCAGUUCUGAUUAGGGUCUCCCGUGAAGUGGCAGUCAGAUGUUGGCUGAAUCUGCGGUCAUCUGAAGACUUGACUGGUGCUUGAAGAUUUCACUUCCAAGGUGGCUCACUUGCAUGACUGGCAAAUUAGUGCUGUCUCCUGGCUGGGGGCUUCUGCUGCUCUCCAUGUGGAUAACUCCAAAGGAUUGUUGGGCAUCCUUGUAGCACGGUGGUUGGCUUCUUCCCUAAUGAGUGAUCCAAAAGAUCAAGACUGAGCAUUGAUGCCUUUUGUGAACUAGCCUCAGAAGUAACAUACCAUGAUUCCUAUCACAUUAUAAUCAUCACACAGCCAACUCUGAUUCAACAUGUGAAGAAUUGACAUGUGCAUGAAUAGCAGGAGGCAUGGAUCACGGAGGCCAUCUUGGAGACUGAGCCCUGUGCCUAAACACUACCUAUUCUCUUUUUUCAUAACAUCUUUGUGUCCAGAUUCUAGUCUACCACUCUUAUUCACUUUUCCAUCUACUUCUCCAUUUCAGCAGUGGAAAUAGCCUACCUUCCUAGAGGUCUGUUAUAUAGUACUUGUAGGGAACCUUACAGUUGAGGCUACAUUGCCUCCAUUGAUCUAACAUGAGAAUAGUUUGGCAAAGAUAUGCAUCUCAUCUGAUCAGAAUCUUUUCCCUUUUGAACUUCUUGUGAGUCCUAGAGACAACCAUGAAACCAAUCUCUUUGCUACUCCAUUUCAGAGCCAACCAUGAGUCAAAGCUGUAAUAUAUAAAGAGCUAAAAAUAUGUUUGUUCAUUAAUAAUGAAGGUUGGUGUAUAUAUACAGCAUGUUGACAAACAGUCUCUUUGGGAAGAAAAUCAUUUUGUAUUGUUGCCUCAACUUUACUAAUAUUCUUCAUCCUCUGUAUCUUUUCAUUUUAUAUGUAACUUAAUGAGGAUAAGUCACUAGUUAAAUCAGGAGCUGUGCUUUUCAGAGGCAAUGCCUGGUGUGAUUUUUAAAAAUGCAACACACUUCCAGUCCCUGUGUCUUUCUUGUUCCAAGGAUGUCAUUAUCAAUAUUAAUAUAAAUUUUUCAUUGCUUGAGCCAUUACGAUAUACAAGCAAUAGAUUUUUCAAUUUUUCAAGUUCCACUGAGUGUAUUAGCAAAAUUAUCUGUCUGUCAGCAGGCAUGUGGUGACGCCAGUAGCAUCUCUAAUUUUGACUGUUCUAAAUCUUUUCAUUUUUACAGGUCUCCAGUGGGGAAAAGACCAAGGAUUUAUUUGCAAGCUCUUCCCUUCACUCCUUCUUUCUGACUGCUUUCUCUUACAUCUCUUAUUGUCUUCUCUGAAUCUUUAAAACAAGGAAUACCUAAAGCAACCUAAGAUAUAGAAAACAUAUUGAUAAAAUUGUGGGAUUUAAAAAAUCAUGCUUUAAAAUGCUCUGUUUUAUUCAUUGUCUUUAAUUCUCCCUAUAAACUAGGGCAGAGAAUUUAUUAAUGAGAAGGUUCUUCAACCUGUCAGAAUUUUAUUAGACUUCAGGGGUGGACUCAGAGUGGAACUAUUUCUAACACCCAGUUUAGUGAUGAUUCUGAACUCAUACACAGGAGCUUAUGGUAGCUUCUAUAAAUGAAUUAUAAAUGGUGUUUAUUCCUCUAGAAUGGAUUUUAGAAUUUUAGAUUUCUUAUUUUCAAUAUUUCAGAAGAAC